ACAGAGGGUGCAAGCGUUAAUCGGAGUUACUGGGCGUAAAGGGCGCGUAGGUGGUUACUUAAGUCGGAUGUGAAAUCCCUGGGCUUAACCUAGGAAUUGCAUUUGAUACUGAGUAUCUAGAGUAUGGUAGAGGAAAGUGGAAUUCUCGGUGUAGUGGUAAAAUACGUAGAUAUCGAGAAGAACACCGGUGGCGAAGGCGGCUUUCUGGACCAAUACUGACACUGAGGCGCGAAAGCGUGGGGAGCAAACAG
rnacentral:rRNA from 1 species